GACGAACCGUGCGAACGUUGUUCGGAAUCACGGGGCUUAAAGGGCGCGUAGGCGGCUUGCCAAGUCAGUGGUGAAAUCCUGCAGCUUAACUGCAGAAGUGCCUUUGAUACUGGCGAGCUCGAGGGAGGUAGGGGUAUGUGGAACUUCUGGUGAAGCGGUGAAAUGCGUUGAUAUCAGACGGAACGCCGGUGGCGAAAGCGACGUACUGGACCUCUUCUGACGCUGAGGCGCGAAAGCUAGGGGAGCAAACGGG
rnacentral:rRNA from 1 species